rnacentral:tRNA from 1 species
GGGAUUGUGGCUCAGUGGUAGAGUGCUUGCCUAGCAUGCAUGAAGCCCUGGGUUCGAUUCCACAGCACUA